rnacentral:rRNA from 1 species
GACAGAGGUGCCGAGCGUUAGGCGGAAUCACUAGGCUUAAAGCGUGUGUAGGCGGGCCGUUAAGUAUCUUGUGAAAUCCCCCGGCUCAACCGGGGAAUGGCUGGAUAUACUGGCGGUCUUGAGCGAUCUAGGGGCAGAUGGAACAAGUGGUGGAGCGGUGAAAUGCGUAGAUAUCACUUGGAACGCCAAAGGUGAAAACAGUCUGCUGGGGAUCUGCUGACGCUGAGACACGAAAGCCAGGGGAGCGAACGGG